rnacentral:rRNA from 1 species
CACGAACUGUGCAAACGUUAUUCGGAAUCACUGGGCUUAAAGAGUUCGUAGGCGGCACGUUAAGUCGGGUGUGAAAUCCCUCGGCUCAACCGAGGAAUUGCGUCCGAAACUGGCGUGCUUGAGUGAGAUAGAGGUGAGCGGAACUGAUGGUGGAGCGGUGAAAUGCGUUGAUAUCAUCAGGAACACCGGUGGCGAAGGCGGCUCACUGGGUCUCAACUGACGCUGAGGAACGAAAGCUAGGGGAGCGAACGGGAUUAGAUACCCCGGUAGUCCUAGCCGUAAACGAUGAGCACUAGGUUGAGGGGACCUCCACAUCCCCCCGGCCGUAGCGAAAGUGUUAAGUGCUCCGCCUGGGGAGUAUGGUCGCAAGGCUG